GAUGAACGCUGGCGGCGUGCCUAACACAUGCAAGUCGAGCGGCAGCGGGCUCACAGUGCUCUGGUUUAUAUAACGAGGGUAAUGUGAGCGCCGGCGAGCGGCGGACGGCUGAGUAACGCGUGGGAACAUGCCCCAAAGUGAGGGAUAAGCAUCGGAAACGGUGUCUAAUACCGCAUAUGGUCUUCGGAUUAAAGGAUUUAUCCGCUUUGGGAGUGGCCUGCGUACGAUUAGAUAGUUGGUGAGGUAAUGGCUCACCAAGUCGACGAUCGUUAACUGGUUUGAGAGGAUGAUCAGUCAGACUGGAACUGAGACACGGUCCAGACUCCUACGGGAGGCAGCAGUGAGGAAUCUUCCACAAUGGGGGCAACCCUGAUGGAGCAACGCCGCGUGCAGGAUGAAGGUUUUCGGAUCGUAAACUGCUUUUGUUAGUGAAGAAUAUGACGGUAACUAACGAAUAAGGAUCGGCUAACUACGUGCCAGCAGCCGCCGUAACAC
rnacentral:rRNA from 1 species